rnacentral:rRNA from 1 species
UGGGGAAUCUUGGACAAUGGGGGCAACCCUGAUCCAGCCAUGCCGCGUGAGUGAUGAAGGCCUUAGGGUCGUAAAGCUCUUUCGCCUGUGAAGAUAAUGACGGUAGCAGGUAAAGAAACCCCGGCUAACUCCGUGCCAGCAGCCGCGGUAAUACGGAGGGGGUUAGCGUUGUUCGGAAUUACUGGGCGUAAAGCGCACGUAGGCGGACCAGAAAGUUGGGGGUGAAAUCCCGGGGGCUCAACCCCGGAACUGCCUCCAAAACUAUUGGUCUAGAGUUCGAGAGAGGUGAGUGGAAUUCCAAGUGUAGAGGUGAAAUUCGUAGAUAUUCGGAGGAACACCAGUGGCGAAGGCGGCUCACUGGCUCGAUACUGACGCUGAGGUGCGAAAGCGUGGGGAGCAAACAGGAUUAGGAUACCCUGGUAGUCCACGCCGUAAACGAUG